UGUACACCACCGUAAAAUGCUCAUACAUUAGUGGUAGUUGUUUAUGCACCAUGAUUGUCUGAAAAUGUACUAUGAUAUUCC
rnacentral:pre_miRNA from 10 species